rnacentral:rRNA from 1 species
UACAGAGGUCUCAAGCGUUGUUCGGAUUCAUUGGGCGUAAAGGGCGCGUAGGCGGCGGGGUAAGUCGGGUGUGAAAUCUCAGAGCUCAACUCUGAAACUGCACUCGAUACUGCUCUGCUUGAGGACUGGAGAGGAGACUGGAAUUCACGGUGUAGCAGUGAAAUGCGUAGAUAUCGUGAGGAAGACCAGUGGCGAAGGCGGGUCUCUGGGACGGUACUGACGCUGAGACGCGAAAGCGUGGGGAGCAAACAGG